GGGGUGCUCGAGUGGCGAACGGGUGAGUAACACGUGAGUAACCUGCCCUUGACUUUGGGAUAACUUCAGGAAACUGGGGCUAAUACCGGAUAGGAGCUCCUGCUGCAUGGUGGGGGUUGGAAAGUUUCGGCGGUUGGGGAUGGACUCGCGGCUUAUCAGCUUGUUGGUGGGGUAGUGGCUUACCAGGGCUUUGACGGGUAGCCGGCCUGAGAGGGUGACCGGCCACAUUGGGACUGAGAUACGGCCCAG
rnacentral:rRNA from 1 species